rnacentral:rRNA from 1 species
CAGUCGCCGCGGUAAUACGUAGGGUGCAAGCGUUAAUCGGAAUUACUGGGCGUAAAGCGUGCGCAGGCGGUUAUAUAAGACAGAUGUGAAAUCCCCGGGCUCAACCUGGGAACUGCAUUUGUGACUGUAUAGCUAGAGUACGGCAGAGGGGGAUGGAAUUCCGCGUGUAGCAGUGAAAUGCGUAGAUAUGCGGAGGAACACCGAUGGCGAAGGCAAUCCCCUGGGCCUGUACUGACGCUCAUGCACGAAAGCGUGGGGAACAAACAGGAUUAGAUACCCCAGUAGUCCCUGUCUCUUAUAC